rnacentral:rRNA from 1 species
GACGAACGCUGGCGGCGUGCUUAACACAUGCAAGUCGAACGGAAAGGCCCUGCUGUUGUGGGGUGCUCGAGUGGCGAACGGGUGAGUAACACGUGAGUAACCUGCCCUUGACUUUGGGAUAACUUCAGGAAACUGGGGCUAAUACCGGAUAGGAGCUCCUGCUGCAUGGUGGGGGUGGGAAAGUUUCGGCGGUUGGGGAUGGACUCGCGGCUUAUCAGCUUGUUGGUGGGGUAGUGGCUUACCAAGGCUUUGACGGGUAGCCGGCCUGAGAGGGUGACCGGCGCCAGUGGGAUUGAGACACGGACAAGGCCCGUACGGGAGGGAGGGGCGGGAGUAAUGGAUCAACGGGCGGGAGCGUGAUGCUGCAACGGCGAGGGCGGGAGAAGGGUGUUGGGGUUGUAAACGUAUUCCGCUAGUGCCUGAGAGUGAGUGAUGGUAAUGGGUAAAGAAGCAGCGGCUAACUCUGUG